rnacentral:lncRNA from 1 species
AAGGUCAAUUGGUGAGGCGACAAUGAAUAUCAUUCGUGGUAACACAAAACCAGUCAACAUCAUCAAAUUGCAGCCAGAGAAAGGGAAGACCCUGUAUGCUGUUAGCUCAGUGAAGUGGGGAGUAGUACACGAUGCUGAGAUUAAUAAGAACAGCUGGAGGUUGUUUGGUUUGUUUAGGACGUUUCUCUCUUACACCAGCACAGCAGUUAGGGUAUG